GGCCGAAUCAAACCCACGAUCUUCAGUCUUAAUGUUGACGUUACAGCGCUAACAUAGCAGACACUUUCAUCACCACAAGACUAUAUUUCCAAACCAUGGCUCUACAGAGAUGUUCAUCGCCAACCCGCACUGUGGAGACUUUCCCAGAAGAGGAACUCGAUUCCACCUGCAGGGAAUACAGAAAUUUCGUCAAAAAUUUCGAAAAGCCCGAAGAUUUGACGAAAAUAAUGACAGUCAGAGGAGUCGGAUCCAGGCAUCUCCCAGGAAUUAUUUCUGGAAAUUUGAGGCUCAGACGGACACCAGUAAGGAGACAUCUACCACAGGAGUAACCUAUUGGAUUAUUAUAUAUUUGUUUUAGACUAGAUAUUUGAUUUAUCCAUUUUGUUUGUACAUAAAUUUUGUUAUUUUGUUUUAUAAAUUACAUAUUAUUACAACAUUAUAAAUUAAAUUAUUUAAUUUAAAA